rnacentral:rRNA from 1 species
AUUGAACGCUGGCGGCAGGCUUAACACAUGCAAGUCGAACGAGUGGCGGACGGGUGAGUAAUGCUUGGGAAUCUAGCUUAUGGAGGGGGAUAACUACGGGAAACUGUAGCUAAUACCGCGUACCCUAGGAUGAGCCCAAGUGGGAGUAGGUAGUUGGUGAGGUAAAGGCUCACCAAGCCGACGAUCUCGAGCUGGUCUGAGAGGAUGACCAGCGAGAAGGGGAAGACAACACGGCCCAGACUCCGACGGGAGGAAGCAGUGGGGAAUAUUGCGCAAUGGGGGCAACCUGACGCAGCCGUGCCGCUUGAAUGAAGAAGGCCUUCGAGUUGUAAAGUUCUUUCGGUAGCGAGGUUUUAACUACAGAAGAAGCACCGGCUAACUCCGUGCCAGCAGCCGCGGUAAUAC